rnacentral:snoRNA from 1 species
UUAAGGCUUGUUUCUCAUAACAUUCGCAGUUGCCGCCUAAGAGCUCUCGCCCUGCCAGGCUUGAGAGCUAAUGCUGUUGAUUCCUUCCUUGGAUGUCUGA